rnacentral:rRNA from 1 species
ACGCUGGCGGCAGGCCUAACACAUGCAAGUCGAGCGGUAGAGAGAAGCUUGCUUCUCUUGAGAGCGGCGGACGGGUGAGUAAUGCCUAGGAAUCUGCCUGGUAGUGGGGGAUAACGUUCGGAAACGGACGCUAAUACCGCAUACGUCCUACGGGAGAAAGCAGGGGACCUUCGGGCCUUGCGCUAUCAGAUGAGCCUAGGUCGGAUUAGCUAGUUGGUGAGGUAAUGGCUCACCAAGGCGACGAUCCGUAACUGGUCUGAGAGGAUGAUCAGUCACACUGGAACUGAGACACGGUCCAGACUCCUACGGGAGGCAGCAGUGGGGAAUAUUGGACAAUGGGCGAAAGCCUGAUCCAGCCAUGCCGCGUGUGUGAAGAAGGUCUUCGGAUUGUAAAGCACUUUAAGUUGGGAGGAAGGGUUGUAGAUUAAUACUCUGCAAUUUUGACGUUACCGACAGAAUAAGCACCGGCUAACUCUGUGCCAGCAGCCGCGGUAAUACAGAGGGUGCAAGCGUUAAUCGGAAUUACUGGGCGUAAAGCGCGCGUAGGUGGUUUGUUAAGUUGGAUGUGAAAUCCCCGGGCUCAACCUGGGAACUGCAUUCAAAACUGACUGACUAGAGUAUGGUAGAGGGUGGUGGAAUUUCCUGUGUAGCGGUGAAAUGCGUAGAUAUAGGAAGGGACACCAGUGGCGAAGGCGACCACCUGGACUAAUACUGACACUGAGGUGCGAAAGCGUGGGGAGCAAAC